rnacentral:rRNA from 1 species
ACGCUGACAGAAUGCUUAACACAUGCAAGUCGAUGAUGGGAGCUAGCUUGCUAGAAGAAGUCAUGGCGGACGGGUGAGUAACGUGUAAAGAACUUACCAUAUAGACUGGGAUAACAGAGGGAAACUUCUGAUAAUACUGGAUAAGUUAGUAGUAGCAUUACUAAGUAAUGAAAGGUAGUAAUACGCUAUAUGAGAGCUUUGCAUCCUAUUAGCUAGUUGGUGGGGUAAAAGCCUACCAAGGCGAUGAUAGGUAGCCGACCUGAGAGGGUGGACGGCCACAAGGGGACUGAGAUACGGCCCUUACUCCUACGGGAGGCAGCAGUGGGGAAUAUUGGACAAUGGAGGCAACUCUGAUCCAGCAAUUCUGUGUGUGUGAAGAAGGUUUUAGGACUGUAAAACACUUUUAGUAGGGAAGAAAGAAAUGACGGUACCUACAGAAGAAGCGACGGCUAAAUACGUGCCAGCAGCCGCGGUAAUACGUAUGUCGCGAGCGUUAUCCGGAAUUAUUGGGCUUAAAGGGCAUCUAGGCGGUUAAACAAGUUGAAGGUGAAAACCUGUGGCUCAACCAUAGGCUUGCCUACAAAACUGUAUAACUAGAGUACUGGAAAGGUGGGUGGAACUACACGAGUAGAGGUGAAAUUCGUAGAUAUGUGUAGGAAUGCCGAUGAUGAAGAUAACUCACUGGACAGCAACUGACGCUGAAGUGCGAAAGCUAGGG